rnacentral:rRNA from 1 species
UACGGAGGGAGCUAGCGUUGUUCGGCAAUACUGGGCGUAAAGCGCACGUAGGCGGCGCAGCAAGUCAGGGGUGAAAUCCCGGGGCUCAACCCCGGAACUGCCCUUGAAACUGCAGUGCUAGAAUCUUGGAGAGGCGAGUGGAAUUCCGAGUGUAGAGGUGAAAUUCGUAGAUAUUCGGAAGAACACCAGUGGCGAAGGCGACUCGCUGGACAAGUAUUGACGCUGAGGUGCGAAAGCGUGGGGAGCAAACAGG